rnacentral:lncRNA from 1 species
GUGAAUUGCCAACGUUUGUUUUGAGAAUGGAUUAGAAAUGAAAUGUUUGAACAGCAUCUGCACAGCUACACAUUUAAAAGCCCAGCAUGAGAAAUCCUCUGUGCCCAUCUGUGUGUCCGUGAUAAGUGAAAAGAGGUCAAUGGAUGUUCCAAUGAAGUUAAAUAAUGGAGACUCUACAUAUAGACUCAGUCCAGCACAGCAGAAGAGAUCAAUCUCUGUGUGAGUGUCCAUGAAGAGUGAUAGAUCAAUGGAAGCUCCAGUGAAGUUCAAUACUGAAGCUCCCUUACCUGGACAAAGGUAAUAACUGUUAACAUUUCAUCUGUAAGACUUUAUUACAUAAUGAAUGAAGGCCUUUCCCAAUAAC